AUGUUUAGUGCACAAAAUUCGAGGGGUUUAACUUUUUCCCUUGCACUUCCUAGCGACCCAGACCAGCGCCAUGGCAACGAGCGUGUCCCUCCUACCCCGACCUUCAACUUGAGGGGCAGAUCCCACCACGACUUGGUGGCGCCGCUGGUGGAACCGGCGUCCCUAAGCGAGCAAUCGUCCAGAUGGCCGUCACACUUCCUCCCAGCAGAGAGGAAGAAAGGAGCUGAUUGCAGGGCACUAAAAUAUUUCUUCGGCCAAAGCUCCGUGAUCGCUUACACAGUUACACACGUAUAUUAUCCAUGUAGUAUGGGUUAUCUGGGAUCAGUUACAACAUGGCACUUGGAUAUUGUUCAUAAAGGUGGCAUAAUUUGUCAAUUUAAUAUACUUCCAUCUCACUGUGUUGAUUUACUCAUGCUAUUUUGA
rnacentral:rRNA from 1 species